CCUACGGGAGGCAGCAGUGAGGAAUAUUGGUCAAUGGACGCAAGUCUGAACCAGCCAUGCCGCGUGCAGGAAGACGGCCCUAUGAGUUGUAAACUGCUUUUGUACGAGGGUAAACGCAGAUACGCGUAUCUUUCUGAAAGUAUCGUACGAAUAAGGAUCGGCUAACUCCGUGCCAGCAGCCGCGGCAAUACGGAGGGUUCAAGCGUUAUCCGGAUUUAUUGGGUUUAAAGGGUGCGUAGGCGGGCGGAUAAGUUAGAUGUGAAAUCCCGAGGCUCAACUUCGGAAUUGCCUCUGAUACUGUUAGGCUAGAGAGUAGUUGCGGUAGGCGGAAUGUAAGGUGUAGCGGUGAAAUGCGUAGAGAUCAUACAGAACACCGAUUGCGAAGGCAGCUUACCAAGCUACGUCUGACGUUGAGGCACGAAAGCGUGGGGAGCAAACAGGAUUAGAUACCCCAGUAGUC
rnacentral:rRNA from 1 species